UACGAAGGGGGCUAGCGUUGCUCGGAAUCACUGGGCGUAAAGAGCUCGUAGGCGGUUUGUCACGUCUGCUGUGAAAUCCCGAGGCUCAACCUCGGGCCUGCAGUGGGUACGGGCAGACUGGAGUGCGGUAGGGGAGAAUGGAAUUCCUGGUGUAGCGGUGGAAUGCGCAGAUAUCAGGAGGAACACCGAUGGCGAAGGCAGUUCUCUGGGCCGUAACUGACGCUGAGGAGCGAAAGCGUGGGGAGCGAACAGG
rnacentral:rRNA from 1 species